AGUGAACGCUGGCGGUAGGCCUAACACAUGCAAGUCGAACGGCAGCACAGUAAGAGCUUGCUCUUACGGGUGGCGAGUGGCGGACGGGUGAGGAAUACAUCGGAAUCUACUUUUUCGUGGGGGAUAACGUAGGGAAACUUACGCUAAUACCGCAUACGACCUACGGGUGAAAGCAGGGGAUCUUCGGACCUUGCGCGAUUGAAUGAGCCGAUGUCGGAUUAGCUAGUUGGCGGGGUAAAGGCCCACCAAGGCGACGAUCCGUAGCUGGUCUGAGAGGAUGAUCAGCCACACUGGAACUGAGACACGGGCCAGACUCCUACGGGAGGCAGCAGUGGGGAAUAUUGGACAAUGGGCGCAAGCCUGAUCCAGCCAUACCGCGUGGGUGAAGAAGGCCUUCGGGUUGUAAAGCCCUUUUGUUGGGAAAGAAAAGCAGCAGGUUAAUACCCCGCUGUCCUGACGGUACCCAAAGAAUAAGCACCGGCUAACUUCGUG
rnacentral:rRNA from 1 species